rnacentral:lncRNA from 7 species
ACGUCUGAGAGAAAGAAACUGUGUCCUUAUAAAGCCCUGUUCCCUUUAUCCCAUUGCCUUUUAGGUAUGACCUGUGGCUGUUCAGGUGGAGGAGGCUUUACUGCUGACACUGGAGGACAAGGGUGGAAAGGAUGUUCCCCUUGGUUCUCACUCGCUGCCGGUUUUGUUCUGCCCCUGAUGGCACCCAGAGGAGACCUGAGAGAAGGUGUCGGACAAGUGCCUGAAACCCCUGCAUUAGCUCCAUGGCAGUGGGCAUACAGCAACCCAUUGUGUUGAUGAGAAGAUCAGGUGUAGAGCGAUUGAGUGACUCUCCUACAGCCAUAGAAAAAAAUCUGCAUCAUUUCUUAAACUACUGCAGUCAUCAUCUUCCCUUCCUUUGGGAACAGAAAAUGCCAUCACAGCAAGCUGUGUUAUACAUCACUGAAACUUCCAAAAUAUGCACUUCAGGGGGAAAGAGUCUUGUGAAAUGUGCAGGAGACUUAGCACUGUGGGCAAAAGUCCUCAGUUCCUCUGAGAGUCGACCCAGCGGGCAGCGGCUGUGAAAUAUUCUUUUCUCUUUGCUGCCAAUGAGCCUUGGCUCUGACCUGGGGAAACCUCAUCAGGAGAAGUACAAUUCAGAUCAUAGCUUGGCAAGCCCUUCACUGCAUCAGGACUUUGGUUUCCAGGUUCAUCCGGGGGCACAACGUAACCUCCAGCACAGGGCUCUUGCGCAAAUAUAGAAAUAGGCAAUGUGGCAUUGUCAUGGCUGGUUCCCCUUGACCAGCAGGUCUUUUUUUCCUCUCCUCAGAUGACCAUCUUCUACUGAAAU